AGGGUGUAAACGCUGCAGACUUGGUGUUGGAAAUCCUUCGAGGGUAUUCAGUGCCGGAGAGAAGUUGUUAAGUCUGCUACUUGGGGAGUACGUCCGCAAGGAUGAAACUUAAAGGAAUUGGCGGGGGAGCACCGCAACGGGAGGAGCGUGCGGUUUAAUUGGAUUCAACACCGGAAAAACUCACCAGGGGAGACUGUUACAUGAAAGCCGAGAUGAAGACUCUGCUAGAUUUUCAGAGAGGAGGUGCAUGGCGUCAGUGACU
rnacentral:rRNA from 1 species